rnacentral:piRNA from 1 species
UCCUAAUGCUGCGACCUUUGAAUACAGUUC